CAUGCAGUCGAGGGGCAGCAUGGUCUUAGCUUGCUAAGGCUGAUGGCGACCGGCGCACGGGUGAGUAACACGUAUCCAACCUGCCGUCUACUCUUGGCCAGCCUUCUGAAAGGAAGAUUAAUCCAGGAUGGGAUCAUGAGUUCACAUGUCCGCAUGAUUAAAGGUAUUUUCCGGUAGACGAUGGGGAUGCGUUCCAUUAGAUAGUAGGCGGGGUAACGGCCCACCUAGUCAACGAUGGAUAGGGGUUCUGAGAGGAAGGUCCCCCACAUUGGAACUGAGACACGGUCCAAACUCCUACGGGAGGCAGCAGUGAGGAAUAUUGGUCAAUGGGCGAUGGCCUGAACCAGCCAAGUAGCGUGAAGGAUGACUGCCCUAUGGGUUGUAAACUUCUUUUAUAAAGGAAUAAAGUCGGGUAUGCAUACCCGUUUGCAUGUACUUUAUGAAUAAGGAUCGGCUAACUCCGUGCCAGCAGCCGCGGUAAUACGGAGGAUCCGAGCGUUAUCCGGAUUUAUUGGGUUUAAAGGGAGCGUAGAUGGAUGUUUAAGUCAGUUGUGAAAGUUUGCGGCUCAACCGUAAAAUUGCAGUUGAUACUGGAUGUCUUGAGUGCAGUUGAGGCAGGCGGAAUUCGUGGUGUAGCGGUGAAAUGCUUAGAUAUCACGAAGAACUCCGAUUGCGAAGGCAGCCUGCUAAGCUGCAACUGACAUUGAGGCUCGAAAGUGUGGGUAUCAAACAGGAUUA
rnacentral:rRNA from 1 species